UGUAGCCCCCUGGAUGGGAUGGGAAUUUGGCAGCCGUCGCGGAGGGGUUCAGUUCAGACUCCGAAGGCAAGGCAGGAGCGGGAGCGGAGCGAGGCGGCCAUGGCGGAGCUCGCUGCGGACCAGCACGUCCGCUACAUCGUCACCGUGGGGAAGAUCUUGAAUUGGGUUCACACUGUUGGAGUAUCGGGGAGAUUACAACUUGGGGCCGGCCCGAUCGACGGCGACGCUGGGGCGAGCAGCGGCGUGGGGUGGAUCUGCACGGUGCUGCGGAGAUGAGCGGCCGGUGUGGUGGCUGCCUCUUCUACGGGCGGCUCGUUGCCCCGCAGCUCUCGGCCUCACAGCUCCUGCUCUUCUAGCGGCGCCUGCGAUGCCUCCCAAGUCAGAAUGCAUGGCGCGCGGGCGAGGCUCACGAGGUCAGCGUCACAGAGGCCGCGCGAAGGACGCCCAAGCGAUAGGCUGGCGCUUGUUGCAGGCCACACCGCCGGAUCACCAGCCACCAGUUGCAGUGGUUGGUUAGCAGGGCAAAAGCUUAAAGCCUCAAGCAGCGGCCAGCAGGAGCGAGCAACUAAAGCAAGUUUGUUUGAACAGGUACAGCUAUAACCACAAGAGUCUUCAAUUCCUAUGUAGCCCUGCAUUGUUCGUGCAUGCUUGGUCAACAAUGGAUGACCCAGACCUCAAAAGGAAAGCUGCUCUUGGUUACUCAAAAUGUUAGCUAUCUCAUAAUUAAGGAGCAGGGAGGGGGCACUCAUUCCUCACUGAACCACCAACCACCAGUGGCAGAUCUAGGAUGCAAAAUUGGGGGGGGGGGGGGGGCUCAUUUUCCUCUUCUUCCUCCUCCUCUCUUUGUCUUCUUCUUCCCCUUCUUUAUCCAUGGUUGAAAAUUGUUUUGCCCCCCCCCCCUUCCGACCACACCACAGGGCGGCAGCAAGAUUACUGAACUGAGCCUCCUCCUCUCGCAGGUCGCAGAGCAGCCAGCCUCCUCCCCUCUCGCAGCGCAACUAGCCCCGGAGCCCCCCACCAUCUCUUCUCCUCGAGUCAACAACAAAGCACCGGACUUCCACCACUCAUUCCCAUCGCAGAUCAAAGGGCCCUACCUCAAGUACAGAUGGGAUAGGAAAUAAAAUCUUUUCAUCAUUUGAGGACCUGGGGUAUCUCCGUUGAUCUGGUGCACUCUCCUCUCCAAUCAAUCCAUCUAGAUCACAUCCUAAGAUCAACUUCCACACAUCCUAAGAUCACCAACAGCCCAAACGGAUUUUAUCCAUAUUUUGAGGGAUGUAUAGGGGCACUUGAUGGCACUCACAUCAGGGCAUGUGCGCCUGCUAAAUUUGUGGAUAGGUUUAGGGGGCGCAAGUCGUACCCCACACAAAAUGUCUUAGCGGUUGUCGACUUUGAUCUGCAUUUCACUUUUGUCCUAGCUGGGUGGGAGGGGUCUGCUCAUGAUUCUCAUUUGCAUGAUGCCCUGACUCGUCCAAAUGGGCUCAAAAUCCCAGAAGGGAAAUUCUAUUUGGCUGAUGCUGGAUAUGCCACUAGGCCAGGCAUAGUGCCACCCUAUCGCGGUGUUCGCUAUCACCUAAAAGAGUUUCACGGAGCCCAUGACCCAAAAUGUCCAAAAGAGUUUUUCAAUCAUCGCCAUUCCCAACUUAGGACAACAGUUGAGCGGGCAUUUGGCGCUCUCAAGAAUCGCUUCAAAAUUCUUAGUAAUAAGCCAUUCAUACCCCUGAAGUCACAGCCAAAGGUGGUCAUUGCCUGUUGUGCCCUUCAUAAUUGGAUAUUGGAUGAUGGAGCUGAUGAGUUCAUAUAUGAUGAGCCAACUUGGUAUGGCCAUCUACCUAGGAGUAGAAAUCGUGUCACCGAUCGAGAGGCUGAUGUACGUGAGUGGGCUACGAAGCGUGAUUCAAUUGCCCAGCAGAUGUGGAAUGAUAGACUUAACAAUAAUGUUACCGUUGAAAAUUAGUGUGUAUUAGCUGCAGCUGCCAUCUUUUGGGUUAGUUUGGACAGUUAAUAUCGUUUCUGUUUGUGUACUUUGGUGGCUGUGUAGCCAUUUGGUCUGUAUACAAUAGCACUGAACUUGUGCUUUGCAAUUUAAUAAUAUGUUUGCUUAGUGGUGUAACUUUCUUCUGUUCAACCACAACAUCGUUUGUUAUAUACUUAAUAUGGUUUGAAACUUAUUGUGAACUUUCAUUUAUAGCAUGGUUAAGAAAAACAAAGUUGGAAGUGCUGAUGUUGUAUAUCGUGAGAAGUACAAAACAUGGACUGAUGACAGCACUGAGUUUAUGCUUCAGUGGUAUGUUGACUACCAAAAGGACAAACCUGCUACCUUUAGGUGGAAGCAACACCACCAUCAUCUGUGUGUAGAAGCUUUGAAUGCCAGAUUUGGAAUAGGAGCUACCAGACAUCAAGCUUAUCGUCAGUUCAGGGCAUUAAAGGAGAAGUGGAACUGGAUAAGCCAAGCUUUGGCCAAGAGUGGCAAUGGUUUUGAACUUUUGAUGCAGUGUUUCGCAAGUUCAGUCUACCAUAUUCAGAGAAACCACCUUCCAAGCUUGGGACUUUGAAAUACAACUAUCUUACUCGACCUAUCAAAUUCUUCCAGCUCAUGGAAGAGCUAUUUGGAGAAUCUGGCCAAGCUAAUGGAUCCUUAGCUAUUGACCAAUACACUUCAGAUGCAGAAGAUGAUAGAUCUGAAACAGAGACUGAUGAUUCAUUUACUGUUGAGCAUGGUGAGAAUGAUUCUGACACUACUGCUCGUAGCAAUUCACCUGAUCUAGCCUUCAGUUCUAGUCUCAAGCACAAAAACAUGAAAUCGCCUAUGAAGAAGCUUCGAAAGCACAAAGAAAAACGUGCCAACGCACUAGAGAAUGAUAAAAUUGCAUCAAGUAUUGUCAUGCUGGCCAAUUCUGUUGCAUCCACUGCCCCUGCACCUGCUGAUCCUUAUGCUAAUCUUUGGAAGCGUAUUGAGGAUAUACCUUUCCCACCACGGGAUAAGGUUGAUAUUGCAACCUUUCUUUCCAAGCCGGAGCAGAUGUACUUGCGCAACUACUUGAAUGCUGCAUCUGAUCAGUCAUUUGGAUCCUGGGUAACUGAUUACUUAGGUGCCAAGUAUGGUGCUAGUGGUGGGUAUGCAUGUGAAUAUGGUAGCUCUGAGUGAAUAUGGAUGCUGCAGCUUUUGGUAUUUUGGACGUGCUGUAGGUGGACGUCAUAUCGAUGCACUUGCUUAUGCUAUUUUGGAAGUGUUGUCGGUUGACAGGAGCAUGUUUCUGUAACUUGUGCGACGUAGAACUACUGUAGGUGGUCAGGGAAGAUGUACUCCUCCAGCAUAAUAUUAUUUUGUGUUGAUCAAGGUGGCUGGACUUCAUGAACUCAUUUGUAUAAUAUGUAAAUAUAUCAUCAGUAGGCCCGAACAGUUGUUAUGUAAAUGACAUGUUCUAAUAUUAUAUGAUAGCAUGAAUCAUGGACA